CAGGUUUUUUAAUUUUAGGGAAAAAUUAGAUCUGAGUUCUUUUGCUAUUAAAAAUGGUUCUCUCCUUCUAGAUUCGUCUUCUCUAGCGUUGAUACUCUAAACCCUAACGAAAUUUCUCCAUUUUUCUACUUGUGAUUUCUUUUUUCUCGCGAUUACAGGCUGAAGACAAGCUGGAAACAGAAACAAAGAGUUAUAUCAGCAGUGUAAACAGAAACAAAGAGUUAUCAAAGUGUUUCAUAACCUUGCAAAACAAGUCUUUUGAGACUAUUUCAAUUCAGUCAUAUUUGAAUUAUUUUUUUUUGAAAAAACAUAUUUGAAUUUUUAUUGUUGGAUUUAAAGAUUUUCUGUAAUUUUUAUUUGCUAUAAGUAUAUAAGUUUGAAAA